AGAGAGCUACCAAAGAAUCAGCGCCGCAACAUGACCCUCCCUCCACAAUUUGAUCAUUUUCUAAAAAGAUCUAAGACAAAAGCAACGGCUGAGAAUGAAAAUGAGACCUCGACGAGCUUCUUCUUCAUGAAGCUCUAAGAGCUAACGCCUAUAGAGAAAAGGAGAUCCACUGUUGUUGAUGAUACACAGACCCCUCCCCUCUCCUUCAUCUUCAUCAACAGCUAGAGGACUUAACAAAAAAACCUAGAAGAAUCCAUCGACAGACCUAAGUAGUGAAAUCACUGCUGCAGCUGUUGACCCCUCCACCACUCUCACACCGUGAACAACACACAACACACAAGCAACCACCCCCAAAUCUUCCGCCACCAACUGACCGAUAUCCAGUAGAAACAGUGACAAGCUCGCCGGAAAACGAGUUGAAAAGACAACCAGCGGCUGCUUAUCCACCUCGUCGAUUAACAACCUUUCAGCCUUUCCUUCUUCUUUGAACCCAGAUACACACAACCAUCUUCAUAUUCUUCUACACACCAAACUCGGCAAAAACUUUGAGUAGAAACUGAUAUGAGUGUGAUCUGAAUGGUUGUUCGAGGUUCCGUCGCGUUCGUGUCCCUGUUGGCAUCUUUGUUCGCUGCUCAAUUCUUUGGUCAGAUUCUCGUUUGCUUCUCGGCUGAAUAGAAAUGUAAACUCAGAACUCCAUUAAUCAGAAAGUUAUAGCUCUUUGAGGUCCAUGCUUUCUUAUCCUUUGUUUCAGUUUCACAGCAAAAAUGUCUCUGCCUGCUUUCAUGUUUUUUUUUAAUUGAUGAAUAUGCUUGGUUUCCUUUAUUAGCUUAAUGCACUUAAAUGAUAGAAUUGGAAUAUUGGAUCAUCUGCUUGUUUGAAUUAUUUUAAAGAAUUUUUUUAAUUAAUAUCCUUGGGUUAACAUUGAUAUGGUGCUAGGUUCCUUGAUAUACGGAAUAGGUGUGCACUUUGGAUUGAUUUAAGUAGUUAAGAGAUUAAUGGAAAUCAGUUAAAGUUUACAUUCUUCUGUUGUUGGAGUGUUGGGACAUGAGAAUUGAUUCAAAAAGUAGAUUUGGAAUUUUUGACGGAACUUUGCUGUAUUAAUCUUAGAAAAACUUUUCGUGCUCGCAUUCUUGUUUGUUUAACUGUCCUCGUUGCAUGCUUUAGGCUUGAUUAACAAUAAAUAAAUCGUAACUACAGGUACGGUUCCCGUAGCGUAGUUGUGACAUCUACUUACUUUUAAAUAUGAAUAUCCAUAGUUCUUUUAAUUGAAUGCAUUUCCUUUGAAAGAAAUUGAGGCGCACCAUUCACACAAUUGAAUCAUUUAACCCAUGUCCCUCGUGUUAAUUUCAUAGCCUAGAUAUAAAAAUGACAAAUGUUCGUAGUUUGUUUUAGGCACGUUAAUAUACUAUUGUGGUUGUGGACACGUUCGCGUGACAUGAUUACGGUUUCUAAAAACAAAACUGGAAUAUAUGUUCGUGCAACUUCAGCCGCACUUUCUUAAUAAUAAUAAAGCAUUACUAAUUGUGGACAUGUUCGCGUGACAUGAUUUUUGACGCGCCAUUUAAAUGAGUACACGUACGUGUGACUCGUUUCAAGAUAAUUUCUCAAUUAAAAAAGGCAAAUGCACAUAGGUUCUAAAGUAAGUAAUUAGACAAUUUAAUAAGCCAAAUAUGAUCAAAGCGACAGUACUAGAACCACAAAACUCGGGAAUGCCUAACACCUUCUCCCGAGUUAACAGAAUUCCUUACCCGAAUUUCUAUGUUCGCAGACCGUAAAUAAGAGUUAACUUCCUCGAUUCGAAAUUUUAAACUGGUGACUUGGGACACUAUAAAUUAUCACAAGUGGCGACUCUGAUUUUAAUAAAAUAAUUCCGUUUCGAUUGUCACUUAAAUUAGAAAAAACUCCCUUAUACUCCUUCCGGGGGUAGAAAAAGGAGGUGUGACAGUUGGGUCCGUAGAAAAAUAUGGAACUUGGGCGUAUGCCCGGAAUUGAAUUCCGAGGUCUCUAGCCCGAGAAAUGAAUUUUUGACGAAAAUUAUUUAACUGAAAAUAUAAUGGUUUUUAAAAAUUUAAUAAUGUUUGAAUUUGAUGGUAUCGGGUCCGUAUCUUGGUUCCGGAGCCCGGUACAGGUUUAAUAUUGUAUUUAAGUUAUGUUUGUAAAAUUUGGUAAGAGACAGAGUUUAUAUGACGUGAUUCGGAACCUCGGUUGUGAAAAUAUAAACUUUAAAGAGUUCUUGAGAUUUUCACUGAUUUUGAUGCUAAAUUCGCUGUUUGAGACGUUAUUUUGGCGAUUUGAUCGCACGAACAAGUCCGAGAGCUCGGGUGAAUUUUGGAUAGGCCACUGAGUGUUUUGAACCUUAUGGAAAAAUUGAUGGUAUUGCAGGUCUGCAAACUUCGCAUUUGCAAAGUUUAUAGUCGCAAAUGCGAUAAGAGCACAGGCCACAAUUGCGAACAUUGGUUUGCAUUUGUGAAGGCAGCAGGUCAGGCCAAUCUUCGCAUUUGCGAAGCAUUGGUCGCAUUUGCGAAUUCGCAAUUGCGAACUUGUGAUCGCAAAUGCGAUACAUGCAACUGCUCAAAAACAGAUUUUGACGGGAUUUCAACUCAUUCUUUCAAAUUUUCAAACUCUAAACUCCCAUAUGCGAUUUUCCAAUGAAAAGUUCUUUACCAAAUCAUAGGAAAACAAUUUCUAACUCAUUUCUUUCAAUCUGCUUCAUCAAUUUACAAGAUUUCAUCACAAAAUCUAGGGAUUUUCAUGGGAAAUUGGGUGUUUUUGAGUGAAAUUGAAAAUUUUGAAAUUUGGGGAUUUGGACCUCAAAUUAAGGUCGAAUUCUAAAACCAAUUAUAUAUCAGGGCUCAGGGGUAAAUGGGUAAUCAGGUUUUGGUCCGAACUUCGGGUUUUGACCAAGCGGGCUCGGGGUCGAUUUUUGACUUCUUGGGAAAAAUGUUGAGAAACAUAUAAUUAAGCAUUGAAUUUGAGUUCUUUAGCAUUUAUUGAUGUUAUUAAGUUAAUUAUGACUAGAUAUAAGUGAAUUGGAGGUGAAAUCUAGAGGGAAAGCAAUAUUUGAAGCUUGAUUUUGGCCGUGGAAUAGAGGUAAGUGUUUGGCCUAACCUAAACUUGAGGGAAUAGACGUUGUUGUCUUAUUUGCUACGCGUUAGUGUUGAGUACGACGUAUAGGUGUGAUGACGAGUAUCUACACGUUGGUGUCGAGCAUGCCCAUGAGUCUUAUACUGUGACUGUUGUGACUCUUAUUAUAUACUGUCCAUGCUUAAAUUGAUGAUUAUCCAUGUUGAACAAGACUUAUGAUAAUUUCUUGGUAAUUGACAAUUUUUGAGUAUUAACUCAAGUUAGAGAUUUAUUUUGUGAAGUUAACUGCUGGAACGAGAUUGGUUAUAGCUGAUUCCCUUGCCAUGAUGUAUUUGUUUCAAUUGUUGAUUCCUUUGUCGGGAUGUUGUUGUUUCUACUUUGUUUCAAUUGUUGAUUCCUUUGUCGGGAUGUUGUUGUUUCUACUGUUUGGGUGAGGAAAGAGUGAUAAAGCACGAAGGGUAAUACCAACUCUUUCCUUGAAAUACUUGUCUAGUUACUUCUACUGACGAAUUUCGUGGAACAACAGGCAAAUAGAAGCAAAGACAUAUUGACACUCCAACUACUGCACAAGCCAGCUGCAACAAAAGUGGUAAAUCAGAACAUUCAUGUGCAGAAUGUGAUAGAGAAAAUGAGAAAAAGGGCAAAUCCAAAAAAGACGCAAAAAGAAGUAUAAAUAGAAAUAGAACAGGAGGAAAGUAAAGCUCAAAAUUGCACCCAAUUUAAAAAUAAAAUAAAAUUGGCAUAAUAAUAACUGACAUUCAGACAACAAUACCUAAGAGAAGAAAUAGGAUCAAAAUUAUGUACCUCUCAACUCAAAUAGUAUUACCAAAAUAAAUGUGCUCAAAAUUAAACAAUAGUUGGAAAUUGGAGAGAAAAAGAGAAGUAAUAGAAAGCUCACCAGAAACAAAGACACAACAAAAUAAGAAAACUACAAGAAAUUCAGUUGAUUUAGUCAUUUUAUCGAGCAUCGUCGAUGCAUCAAUAUGCAAAUUGGAUAGAGUCAUCGACAUGCGUGUGAAAAUCUAAUAGGAAACUAUCGUAAAGAACAUAGCAGAUGCCACAGAAAUAAAUCAUUAGCAACAACAUGCCGCAUUUAGAAGGGAAAAAAGCAAGAACGUGAAAAGUUAGCAAAAGUGAACAAAAUAAAGCACACAACAUGGCAUCCAAAUUGAAAGAUUUAGAAAUAUGAAGGAAUGAGUCAGAAAAUUAGACAGAGCAAACAACAGAGAAGGAGGAAACAAACGGUAAUCACUACAAAAAUAAAAAAAGAAACGAUCACAUUCCAGGUAAAGAUUCGCAAUACUCCCUGGCCAGACUUCCCCAAUUUCUGUGAUAACAUGAUUAUUGCAGUAUAAUUUAACAAAAGAAAAAUACAAAAUACCAAAAUUGAGAUAUUGAUACAGGAGUAGUGUUCUCCCGUGAUAUCAACUGAACAUGAAGCAUGAAGCCCUAGGUAGAAGGCAUGCGUAGAAAAGGGAUAGUGAAGGGGGAGAUGAACAACAAAAGGAGAUGGAAAUAUGCGACUACACAAGAAAUGAGGUGGCAAUUCAACUACUGCUGUAAAGGACACGCAAGUCUAUAAAUCAAAUGUCAAAAUUGCCCUUAGAAUUGAAUUCCAAAAACCAGCCAGGUCGAAACCUUGGCUCUUCUAUAAUAUAGUAAAGUAAUUAUUAAUAAUGUUAUUAAGGAUGAUAGUACCCAUUUUAUUGUAAAAGAAUAAAGUGGGUCGGUUUUGUUCCCACGUAAUACAGGAAAAGUUCACAAAUUAGAGGAUUUGAACAAAAUUUCCUAAAUUAACGGGAAGAAAGUUUCACGUUUUAGGCAUGUAUUGAUGUUAGUUGGACUGGUUUAUCAUGUAGAUAGUGAAAUUAGGGUCCGGAAUUGCUUGAAGGAGGUGUAAAGUGGAAGUUAAACUUGUCGUCUUGAGGUGAGUUAGGCUUAUUUUCCUAGUAGGGAAUUUCAUUAGAACCCAAGUGCUCCAUGGGUUUGAUAAAUCUAAGCCAUGUCUCCUUGUGCUCUAAUAUUUAGUUCGUGUCAUUCUUAUUCACUGCGACUUUAUAUAUGAUAGAGUUACAUGUUUAUGCGUGUUUAUGUACCUUUAUUUGUGAUAUUUAUAUUUAGUGAAGUAUUUUAGUUUCAAUAUUUAUUCAUGCAUUAAUGUGAUCACAUUGAAGGGAGAGCUAGCCGACCUCACCUUGCGUGAGUGCCACAAGUCCAGGGUUUCUACCCCACAUACGAAGGGGCUAUUGUUGUUUGGGAGAUAGGCCAACACUCCCUAGUGUGUAUUGCUAGAUCUUACGUACAUAGAGCCACUAUGUGUUGUGAGCACGUGAUUUUUGCCCUAUGAGAACUACUCCCAAAAAAAAUUCAAAAUAAAUUGCGUUGUUUGUAAUUUAUGUGUAUUUUGUCUAUUUUCUUCUUUAAUUAAGAAAAAUACAAAAAAUAUGUGUUGCAUGUGCAUUUAGGAUUUAAUUUUACAAUUUAGGAAUUAACAAGUUUGUUUUACAAAAUAGAAAAAUCACAAAAAUAUAUGCUUUGCUUUUUUAGCAUUUAAUGUCCGAAUUGUGUAAUUUUAUCUUUAUUUGAUGUUUAAUUUCGUGUGNNNNNNNNNNNNNNNNNNNNNNNNNNNNNNNNNNNNNNNNNNNNNNNNNNNNNNNNNNNNNNNNNNNNNNNNNNNNNNNNNNNNNNNNNNNNNNNNNNNNNNNNNNNNNNNNNNNNNNNNNNNNNNNNNNNNNNNNNNNNNNNNNNNNNNNNNNNNNNNNNNNNNNNNNNNNNNNNNNNNNNNNNNNNNNNNNNNNNNNNNNNNNNNNNNNNNNNNNNNNNNNNNNNNNNNNNNNNNNNNNNNNNNNNNNNNNNNNNNNNNNNNNNNNNNNNNNNNNNNNNNNNNNNNNNNNNNNNNNNNNNNNNNNNNNNNNNNNNNNNNNNNNNNNNNNNUUUAUUGUUGAAAAGAAAAAUUGAAAAAAAAAAUAAUAAAAAUAAAUAAGAAAAGGAAGAUUCAGUUGGGCCAAUUUGGCCAAGCCCAAAUCCUUACAGUCAAACCAGGCCAAAAAACAGCCCAUACCCGCCCCAAAUCCAGUCCACCUGCGACUCAACCAAACGACGCCGUUUUAGGCGUUUCCAUCUAGACCGUUGAUCUCAGCUGAUCAAACGGUCCCAAAGCUUUGACCAAACCCGACCCCGAACCAUCACUCCAAUACCCGGACCGCCCCAGCACUACCUCAAAAUGACACCGUCUCCCUAAAAUGAACUAAUCCAGGCCAUUGAUCGUGCCUGAUCCAAUGGCCAGGAUUAGACCAUCCCCUCCGUAUAUAAGCCUAACCCCUCUCCUCACCCCCUAAGCCAUACCCUGUUCAUCGUCUCUUUCAGAGACGAACCCAAGCAACCCUCCCAAACCCUAGCCGCCCUGAAACCCCUCUGCUUGAAAGCCAGCAGCAACAACGCCGGUGACCACCAAAAUAACACCCCUGAACCUCCUAACCACCCUCUCCACAAAUCCUUUACCCGUUUUGCUCGAAUCAGACUGAAGCUUCUCGAAUCUUCAAUCGAAGAUUCGAGCAUACUUGAAACCCACCCCAAUCAGUCCCAAACUCACACCAAGGCACCCCCUGACCACCCUUGUUACGGAUCUGUUGACUGCUUGCCUCGAAUCAACCUCCAACAUCUACCCCAACCAAUCCCAGACCCAUACCAGACAUGUCCCUGACUUCCCUCGUCACCAAACCACCGUGGGUUUGGUUCGAAUCUGGCUAGAAACACUCGAACCCAAAUCGAACCCCCAAGAACCCUAGAAAACCAAAAGGUAAAAUCUGUCCCAACUAAAGGAAGGUUUGGGGUCUAACCAACUUUAGUCGAAGUGUUCUCAGUUGAGAACACUCGAUUAAGGUCAGUUCGACCUCAAAAAGUUCGAGUUUGAGUUCGAUUCAGGGUUGUUUAGGUCCCGAGUUCUUGAGGUAUUUUUUCAUUUCCUAUUUGUCCCAGUUUGUGUUUGUUUAUUCUGUUUAUUUAUUUAGUUUAGUUUUAUUGGUUUUUCAAUUUCUUUUGUCGAUUGUCCAGUUCUUCUCCCUCAGACCUUUUAUUUGGUCGAAUUCGUUUCUGUUCGUUGUUAAUUAUAGGCUGUGUAGUCGAUUCGAAUAAGUUUGUCGAUUAGUUUAGCUUUAUUAUAAAUCCCUGUUCUUGUCACUGUUACUUGAAUGACCUGAUUAUCUAUUUCUGAGUAAUUGCUGUCAAUUGUUGUAGGCAAUCGUCUAAUCAGUUAUCAUCGAUUAAGUCAAGUUUUAUCAGUAGUUUCGUAAAAUGAUUUAAGGUCGAAUGUUGUGUGUGCUUGAUCUGUGGACAUUUAGCUUCAAGGCAUUGUCAAUAGGUUGACAAUGAACAUGCAUUCAUGUUACCUACAUUCAUGUUCAUUUUUUGGUUCAGUUUCAAUUUCAGCUUUUAUGAUUCUGUUGAGUUAUGUGUUAUGAUAGUUUGGUUUUGAUUUAAAUUCAGUUUAGUUUGAAUUUAUAGCCGUUAGUCUAUAAUUGUUAGUUUUGAACAGAUUUUUUUUAAUAAAUGUUGAUUCUGUUAGUUUUUGAUAAAUGUUGAGUUGAAUUCAGUUUUAAUGUUAGUUUAGGAGAAUUGGUUGUAGUUGUUAGUCAGAUUUAGUUUUAAAUCAUUGUUAGUUUGAACAGAUUUUAGAGUUAAAAGGUUUUAAUACGGAUGAAUAGAUUAUUAGGGGCAGUAAUAUUAAGGGGUUUUCAGGGGUGAUUUGGGAAUGAAACAGUUAGGAUAAUAUUUUAAUGUUAGUGUUUUGUUAGUGGGAUAUUAGUGUCUUUAGAUUAAUACACUACUGGGGAACAAAAGAGAAUGAGAGGGCUGAAAAUAAGGAAAAGUUUUCCUUAGUGGGCUUUAAAGUGGAAGAAUUCAGAUUUUUAGUGGAAGAGGGGGGUAAGGCAGUAAGUGGAAAAGGAGGGCAUGUCUGUAUAAGAGAGCAGAUUGAGGACUGAAAGAAAAAAAAAAGACUAGAAAAAAGGGGAAUUUUUUGAGAGCUUGGGAGUUGAAAAGAAUAGCCAUUGUUUUCAUUGCAUCACUUAGAACUUGAAAUAACUAGAACACUUCUUUUUUACUUCUGCUCUAUGCUGGGGACAGUUUGUAGCUGCUGGUUAUUUUGUUGUUACACUGCUGUUGCAAAUGCUGUUGGUUACUACUGCUGCUGCUGACCCUCUUCUUCCUCUUCUUGUAUUGUCUAUACCAGCUGAGCACAAGGUGUGGCUCACGCUCUGCAAUGGGAACUCAGACUGGGC
rnacentral:lncRNA from 1 species